GGAACGUAGGCGUUCUGCUCAUCACCCUGUGACAUACCUAAAACGUUGCUUCGGCGGGAACAGACGGCCCUGUAACAACGGGCCGCCCCCGCCAGAGGACCCCUAACUCUGUUUUUAUAAUGUUUUUCUGAGUAAACAAGCAAAUAAAUUAAAACUUUCAACAACGGAUCUCUUGGCUCUGGCAUCGAUGAAGAACGCAGCGAAAUGCGAUAAGUAAUGUGAAUUGCAGAAUUCAGUGAAUCAUCGAAUCUUUGAACGCACAUUGCGCCCGCCAGUAUUCUGGCGGGCAUGCCUGUUCGAGCGUCAUUACAACCCUCAGGCCCCCGGGCCUGGCGUUGGGGAUCGGCGGAAGCCCCCUGUGGGCACACGCCGUCCCUCAAAUACAGUGGCGGUCCCGCCGCAGCUUCCAUUGCGUAGUAGCUAACACCUCGCAACUGGAGAGCGGCGCGGCCAUGCCGUAAAACACCCAACUUCUGAAUGUUGACCUCGAAUCAGGUAGGAAUACCCGCUGAGCUUAAGCAUAUCAAUAAGGCGGAGGA
rnacentral:rRNA from 1 species